rnacentral:rRNA from 1 species
AACCAAGAAAUUAAGUCAUAUAUUUACGGUAAUAAAGAUAGUUAGAUUUUUAAUAAUUAUAUAAGUUUUUAAAUGAUUUAUAAAAAAGUGAAAUUUAUAUAUAAAUUCUUAAAUUAGUAAUAACUUAAUCAAUCGAAUCUAUGAAAGUCUUGAGGGAAACUGGGAUUAGAUACCCCAUUAUUCUUGAUUGUAAAAUAAUAAAAUUUACCAGAGUAGUAUGAACAAAUAAUAAUUUAAAACUCAAAGAGCUUGGCGGUGUCUCAGACCACUUAGGGGAACCUGUCUCAUAAUCGAUAAUCCACGUUAUACCUAACCUUUUUUUGUAUAAUUCAGCUUGUAUACCAUUGUCGUCAGGUAACUUUUAAAAAAUUAUAAGUUAGCUAUAAAUUUUUAAAUUAAAACGUCAGAUCAAGGUGCAGCCUAUAAAAAGGAGAGGAUGGGUUACAAUUAAUAUUUAUAACUACGGAUAACUUAUUAGAAUUAAUAGUUGGAAGGAGGACUUAAAAGUAAAUUAGUUUACAGAAAUAUUUUGAAUAUGGCUCUGAGAUGUGC